GCCUGGCUGGCUCAGUCAGUAGAGCAUCAGACUCUGGAUAUCGGGAUUGUGAGUUCAAGCCCCACGUAGGGCG
rnacentral:tRNA from 1 species